GAUGAACGCUAGCGACAGGCUUAACACAUGCAUGUCGAGGGGUAACAGGGUAGCAAUACCGCUGACGACCGGCGCACGGGUGAGUAACGCGUAUGCAACCUGCCUAUAACUGGGGAAUAGCUCCCUGAAAGGGGAAUUAACACCGCAUAACACUAUUGAUUCGCAUGGAUUUGUAGUUAAAUGUAGCGAUACAGGUUAUAGAUGGGCAUGCGUGACAUUAGCUAGUUGGUGAGGUAACGGCUCACCAAGGCUACGAUGUCUAGGGGUUCUGAGAGGAAGGUCCCCCACACUGGUACUGAGACACGGACCAGACUCCUACGGGAGGCAGCAGUGAGGAAUAUUGGUCAAUGGGCGCAAGCCUGAACCAGCCAUGUCGCGUGCAGGACGACUGCCCUAUGGGUUGUAAAACUGCUUUUUAUAGUAGAAGAAAACACAUCUACGUGUAGAUGUCUGCCAGUAUACUAUGAAUAAGCAUCGGCUAACUCCGUGCCAGCAGCCGCGGUAAUACGGAGGAUGCAAGCGUUAUCCGGAUUUAUUGGGUUUAAAGGGUGCGUAGGCGGGACUGUAAGUCAGGGGGUGAAAAUUACUGCAGCUUAACUGUAGCAUUGCCUUUGAAACUGCCGUUCUUGAGUACAGUUGAGGUAGGCGGAAUGUGGUGUGUAGCGGUGAAAA
rnacentral:rRNA from 1 species